rnacentral:rRNA from 1 species
GAUGAACGCUGGCGGCGUGCCUAAUACAUGCCAGUCGAGCGAACAGAUGAGGAGCUUGCUCCUCUGACGUUAGCGGCGGACGGGUGAGUAACACGUGGAUAACCUACCUAUAAGACUGGGAUAACUUCGCGAAACCGGAGCUAAUACCGGAUAAUAUAUUGAACCGCAUGGUUCAAUAGUGAAAGACGGUUUUGCUGUCACUUAUAGAUGGAUCCGCGCCGCAUUAGCUAGUUGGUAAGGUAACGGCUUACCAAGGCAACGAUGCGUAGCCGACCUGAGAGGGUGAUCGGCCACACUGGAACUGAGACACGGUCCAGACUCCUACGGGAGGCAGCAGUAGGGAAUCUUCCGCAAUGGGCGAAAGCCUGACGGAGCAACGCCGCGUGAGUGAUGAAGGUCUUCGGAUCGUAAAACUCUGUUAUUAGGGAAGAACAAAUGUGUAAGUAACUAUGCACGUCUUGACGGUACCUAAUCAGAAAGCCACGGCUAACUACGUG